rnacentral:lncRNA from 1 species
AAAGAACUAGAGUUUUAACUUCAUAUGAGUGGUAGGCUUUGAAUUUGAUCCUCGCCCAAGUUGGAAUCCUGUUUGCUUAAGACGUUAGUGUAAUGACAGAAAGAAAGCAGAGUAGUAAAGCUGAAGAAUCCUUGUUACUUACAGUGGUCUGUCUGCUGUUUAAAAUAUACAGAUUAUCUUCGCACCUUGCUUGUGUGUAUGGCUCAAUCUGUAUUUCUAACAUCCUGCCGCUUUUAGAAAUCUAGACUGCCAGGUGGUACGUCUACGUCUUUCUAGGUCUUAAUCUGAGCAGAAAACCUCAUGUGUGUAUUUCUAUUCUGAAUGCCCUUCCCUUUGCCCCUUAAAUCAUAAGUUGGCCACAUGGUGACUUAGUGGGAACUGCAGAAGUCAACCCUAAAGGGGGUUCAGUGU